UUAAAUUUGAAAAAAGACGAAUGAAAAACUAUUUUAAGAAAUUUACUAAUUGCUUUCUUUUCUUACAUUUUGAAGGUGGAGUAGAGCUAGGUUUUGGACAAUCACUCAUCUAAAUCUUGUCAAAUAGUGGUGAUAAGGAUUUAUGCGUAAAAUCUACAGGAUUUUUAUACUUAGAGAUUUUGUUCGUAGUUAUCAUCCUUUGUUCAGGAUUGUAAAUGUGUCCGUCUUCAGCAAUCAUAGGUUUAAGCAUUUCCAUCAUAGUGAUACUUUGGAAUUGAGCAUGUUACAUGCAUGCUUCUUUUUAUUUUUCAUUUUCUGUUUUGUAAGUUAGGAUUCAUCAAAACAAGAUCAAUGGGAACUUGAAAAGCCAUUAAAUAUUGUUAAAAGGCAAA